GAUGAACGCUGACAGCAUGCUUAACACAUGCAAGUCUACUUGAAUUUGGGUUUUUUAACUUAGAUUUGGGUGGCGGACGGGUGAGUAACGCGUAAAGAACUUGCCUCACAGUUAGGGACAACAUUUGGAAACGAAUGCUAAUACCUGAUAUUAUGAAUAUAUGGCAUCAUAUAAUUAUGAAAGCUAUAAGCGCUGUGAGAGAGCUUUGCGUCCCAUUAGCUAGUUGGAGAGGUAACGGCUCACCAAGGCGAUGAUGGGUAGCCGGCCUGAGAGGGUGAACGGCCACAAGGGGACUGAGACACGGCCCUUACUCCUACGGGAGGCAGCAGUGGGGAAUAUUGGACAAUGGACCAAGAGUCUGAUCCAGCAAUUCUGUGUGCACGAUGACGUUUUUCGGAAUGUAAAGUGCUUUCAGUUGGGAAGAAAAAAAUGACGGUAUCAACAGAAGAAGUGACGGCUAAAUACGUG
rnacentral:rRNA from 1 species